rnacentral:rRNA from 1 species
UGGGGAAUUUUGGACAAUGGGCGAAAGCCUGAUCCAGCAAUGCCGCGUGUGUGAAGAAGGCCUUCGGGUUGUAAAGCACUUUUGUCCGGAAAGAAAUCCUUGGCUCUAAUACAGUCGGGGGAUGACGGUACCGGAAGAAUAAGCACCGGCUAACUACGUGCCAGCAGCCGCGGUAAUACGUAGGGUGCAAGCGUUAAUCGGAAUUACUGGGCGUAAAGCGUGCGCAGGCGGUUUGCUAAGGCCGAUGUGAAAUCCCCGGGCUCAACCUGGGAACUGCAUUGGUGACUGGCAGGCUAGAGUAUGGCAGAGGGGGGUAGAAUUCCACGUGUAGCAGUGAAAUGCGUAGAGAUGUGGAGGAAUACCGAUGGCGAAGGCAGCCCCCUGGGCCAAUACUGACGCUCAUGCACGGAAGCGUGGGGAGCAAACAGGAUUAGAUACCCUGGUAGUCCACGCCCUAAACGAUGUCAACUAGUUGUUGGGGAUUCAUUUCCUUAGUAACGUAGCUAACGCGUGAAGUUGACCGCCUGGGGAGUACGGUCGCAAGAUUAAAACUCAAAUGAAUUGACGGGGUCAUAGCUGUUUCCU